CCUGGUACAGAAAAAAGUAACACUGCAGGUGAAUGAGAAUGUGGCUAAAAGGAAUUCCCGUGUAUCUUUCAGUGAAAGCAGAGUAAUUCUGGGGAAUUCAUUGUCAAAUAAUUACCUAGGGAUUUCUGUUUUAAGUGCAGGCUUAUAUUAAAUGUCUGGAUGAGGUGCAAAGUGUGAGACUUUGCACGUGCCUCAGUAUCAGGAAAUGCACAAAGGAACACAAUCCUGUGUGAAUGUAGGCAGUGUGUAUUUAGGUGCACCCGAGGAGGUGGUAAGAACGUUCUCACACAGUAGCUGAAGAUUCUGGGAGGUUGUACUGAAGGGAGAGUAUCUCCAGUCUGAGUAACUUUAGUGAGAAAUGGGGUCUCACAUGGAAGGUUUCACUGCUCUGUUGGCUCCAACAACCAGUAUUCUGUCUCCUGGUGUUUCCCAGCACAAAGUGGGGUCUUGGCAAACUCCGGGAGGUGAUCUUGCAGCCCAGUUCAAGUGUAACAAAAAUCACCUUGCUGCCAAGUGUUUGUAUUGUGGAAUUUUGUGGUGUAUAGAAUUUCACAUCGCAGUACCUGCAGUUGGAUCACCUCCCUCAGGAGCCCCUGUCAAUUUUUAAAGUUCCUUUGAGUAUGGAUUUCUGCAGAAUUCAGCCCGUUUCUCAAAGAGAGAGCUUCCAGCAAAUCAGAAAUACCCAGUGGCUGGAAUCUGUGGUGUGUGAUGCUGUACUGAACAGUGUGACUCCAAACAGCUCUAUUCCUCACAGACAUGGGAAGGGUAUUUUCCUGGGUGUUUUGUGGUGGUUUUUCCCCCCUCAGAUGAGUAACAACUUUGUGUGUGAACAGGUGGGGGCUGCAAACUUUGUGGUUCUGUGGAGCACUUCAAGAAGGACUGCCCGGAGAAGCAGAACACAGAGCAGGUGACAGUCGGGCGCUGGACCCCCGGCCUGAGCGCGGACCACGAGGACGUCGCGGCCGCGCCGGCGCCGCAGAGAGCGCAGCCCAAGCGACCCAAAGUUGUCACUUUCUGAAGGACUCCUGGCUCUCCAUCAGCUCUCCUGCACUGCUGCACUCCAGAGUGGUGACGACAGAGAGCAGAUCCAGAAGAACAAGCAGGCUGCAGAGGACUUGCUGGGUGUUUUCCUCCCCUCAUUUUCCCCCUUUGCCUCCCAAACUUGCCUGUCUCACUUUGAAGCUGGGAACAACAGGAACACAGCAAGUGGCUAUUUUGUUAAA